rnacentral:rRNA from 2 species
ACUCGACUGCGUGAAGUCGGAAUCGCUAGUAAUCGCGAAUCAGAAUGUCGCGGUGAAUACGUUCCCGGGCCUUGUACACACCGCCCGUCACACCAUGGGAGUGGGUUGCACCAGAAGUAGCUAGUCUAACCUUCGGGAGGACGGUUACCACGGUGUGAUUCAUGACUGGGGUGAAGUCGUAACAAGGUAGCCGUAGGGGAACCUGCGGCUGGAUCACCUCCUUAA